UGGGAGGGAAAACCUCCCUUUGAACAGGAAGUUGUCAUGAUCCUGGGUCCGUUUGACCCAGCGUUUUAUGUUUUCUAUUAUUGUGAUUUUGGUUCUGUUCUUCAUCAGUUUAGUGUUUAUUCUUUUCUGCCCGUGUAUUUCCUGUGUCUAGUCUGCGUUUCUUAGUCUGUGUCCUUGUAUGUGUUUCCUGUUUUACUUUGAAGGUCUCUGACUUAUGUCAGUGUGUUCUGUUUACGUUUCCCCUGCCUCGUCAGCUGUUAUGUCUCCCAGGUGUGUUUCCCUCCUGUUUCCCAUCCCCUGAUUACUGGAGUGUGUAUUUAUAGUGUGUGUUCACCCGUCCUCGUUGCUGGUUCGUCUGUGUAUUUUCCUCCAUCUUCCUGGUCAUUCUCCCUGCAAGGUACCCUCUUUCAUGUUCUGGUUUUGUUGUUUAAGUUUUAGUUUUCCCAGUUUAGAGUAUUUUCAGUUCUGUUCCUCGCCCCCCUUUCGUUUGUGUUGUACUUCACCCUUUUGUUAAUAAAGCUCGCUCACUACUACGCAGUCUGCAUCUUGGGUCCGUUACUAAUCCACACACGGCCUGCCUCGGCACCCCGUGACAGAAGCAGAACCAGGCUAAAAUAAGGGUUGGCCAUGUUUCUAGCUCUGAAACCCUGAGUCAGUGAUGGUUGAUUGAGGUAAUCAAACCUGCAGGAAGUGGAGGAUCUAAAUGAGUUCUGCUGAUUUAUGUCCUUCAGGUUCAUGGAUUUGUUCCUCUGUGCUCCAUCCAUACAGCAGAAUUCCUCAGGCCCAAAUCCCACCGGCAGGGUGGAGGUGGGGAGUGAAGACAAUGCCUGUUGUUCUUCCUGCUUGUUCUUCCUGCUGUGCAUCUCAGAAGUAGCACGGUGGCUCAGAAUAAAAGGCACACAGGUUAAAAACCCAGGCAGGUUUGUUCUCCCUGUGUUUGCAUAGGUUUUACCUGCAGGGGGAAGAAGGGAAGUCGGACACAGGAGCGAGUGUUGUUGGACCUCAUGUCACCUUUUUCAAACUAAAACACCCCCUACAAGCCAAAUGCUUCAUGCUGUGUGGCACACUUUGGUUCCACCCCAUCCCACCUUAAUUUCCCCAAUACCCCAACCCUGCGCACUAACUACAGCAGCAUAUUUUCACCUGCUCCCGAUCACAUCAUCAGCAUUGUGCCGGCUUGCAUCUGUCACCCUGGAGCUCAUUAAAGAGAAUAAGAAAGGUUCUCAUCGUUAUUUAAAAAGCAUGCUUUCAAUCAAGAACCAGAGCUCGAAGUGGAAUUACACGCAUCGAUUGCUUCUCAACAAAAUAAUAAAUCACAGCUCACAUAAUAGAAGCAUGAGAAGUUUAAGAUAACAAAUAAGACAAAGAAAUAAAUACCCAGUAAUUAAAGUCAAAGCCAAUUAAUGUCUAACAUCUUCUCUCUCCACUUCUCAGUGCUUCAAAUUUUUCUAGAGCUGGAGCUUCCUGUCAUUGUAAACUCAGAUUCACUUGUUCAGACAUCCAGCUGGUGACAGCUGUCAGGCUCCCUACAUAAACGGAUGGUCCCCAAUCUGAAUCUCUGACUGUCUGCCCUGUAGUGCUAUAACACCGAGUCUCUUGUGUUUCUGCUUAAUAUCAGUGACAGUUCAAUUCAGCUUUGUUUAUAUACCGCCGAAUCACAGCAGUAGUCUCU